rnacentral:rRNA from 1 species
UGGGGAAUAUUGGGCAAUGGGGGCAACCCUGACCCAGCGACGCCGCGUGGGGGAGGACGGCCUUCGGGUUGUAAACCUCUUUUGUACGGGAAGAAGGAAGUGACGGUACUGUACGAAUAAGUCCCGGCUAACUACGUGCCAGCAGCCGCGGUAAUACGUAGGGGACGAGCGUUGUCCGGAAUUACUGGGCGUAAAGGGCGCGCAGGCUGUGCUGCAAGUCAGGUGUUAAAUGUCUGGGCUUAACCCGGGCAUGCGGUUGAGAGUGCGGUGGUGGUGUGCUGUAGAGGCGAGUGGAAUUCCCGGUGUAGCGGUGAGAUGCGUAGAUAUUGGGAAGAGCACCGGUGGCGAAGGCGACUUGCUGGGCAGAAACUGACGCUGAGGCGCG